rnacentral:rRNA from 1 species
CUUGUCUCAAAGAUUAAGCCAUGCAUGUCUAAGUAUAAGCAAUUAUACAGCGAAACUGCGAAUGGCUCAUUAUAUAAGUUAUCGUUUAUUUGAUAGUACCUUACUACUUGGAUAACCGUGGUAAUUCUAGAGCUAAUACAUGCUAAAAAUCCCGACUUCGGAAGGGAUGUAUUUAUUAGAUUAAAAACCAAUGCCCUCUGGGCUCCUUGGUGAUUCAUGAUAACUCUUCGAAUCGCACGGCCUUGCGCCGGCGAUGGUUCAUUCAAAUUUCUUCCCUAUCAACUUUCGAUGUUUGGGUCUUGGCCAAACAUGGUCGCAACGGGUAACGGAGGGUUAGGGCUCGACCCCGGAGAAGGAGCCUGAGAAACGGCUACUACAUCCAAGGAAGGCAGCAGGCGCGCAAAUUACCCAAUCCCGAUUCGGGGAGGUAGUGACAAUAAAUACUGAUACAGGGCUCUUUUGGGUCUUGUAAUUGGAAUGAGUACAAUUUAAAUCCCUUAACGAGGAACAAUUGGAGGGCAAGUCUGGUGCCAGCAGCCGCGGUAAUUCCAGCUCCAAUAGCGUAUAUUAAAGUUGUUGUGGUUAAAAAGCUCGUAGUUGAACCUUGGGCCUGGCUGGCCGGUCCGCCUCACCGCGUGUACUGGUCCGGCCGGGCCUUUCCCUCUGUGGAACCCCAUGCCCUUCACUGGGUGUGGCGGGGAAACAGGACUUUUACUUUGAAAAAAUUAGAGUGCUCCAGGCAGGCCUAUGCUCGAAUACAUUAGCAUGGAAUAAUGAAAUAGGACGCGUGGUUCUAUUUUGUUGGUUUCUAGGACCGCCGUAAUGAUUAAUAGGGACAGUCGGGGGCAUCAGUAUUCAAUUGUCAGAGGUGAAAUUCUUGGAUUUAUUGAAGACUAACUACUGCGAAAGCAUUUGCCAAGGAUGUUUUCAUUAAUCAGGAACGAAAGUUAGGGGAUCGAAGACGAUCAGAUACCGUCGUAGUCUUAACCAUAAACUAUGCCGACUAGGGAUCGGACGAUGUUAUUUUUUGACGCGUUCGGCACCUUACGAGAAAUCAAAGUGCUUGGGCUCCAGGGGGAG